CAGUCGCCGCGGUAAUACGAACCGUGCGAACGUUAUUCGGAAUUACUGGGCUUAAAGCGCGUGUAGGCGGCUCGGCACGUCGGACGUUGAAAGCCCCCGACUCAACCGGGGAGGGGGCGCCGAUACGGCCGAGCUGGAGGGAGGUAGGGGGUCUGGAACUUCCGGUGGAGCGGUGAAAUGCGUUGAGAUCGGAAGGAACGCCCGUGGCGAAAGCGAGGCCCUGGACCUUUUCUGACGCUGAGACGCGAAAGCCAGGGGAGCGAACGGGAUUAGAUACCCCGGUAGUCCCUGUCUCUUAUAC
rnacentral:rRNA from 1 species